rnacentral:tRNA from 3 species
GUGGGCGUGGCGAAGUGGUCAACGCACCGGAUUGUGGCUCCGGCACUCGUGGGUUCGAACCCCAUCGCUCACCCCA